rnacentral:rRNA from 1 species
UACGGAGGGAGCUAGCGUUAUUCGGAAUUACUGGGCGUAAAGCGCACGUAGGCGGCUUUGUAAGUUAGAGGUGGAAUCCUGGAGCUCAACUCCAGAACUGCCUUUGAUACUGAGGAUCUUGAGUACGGGAGAGGUGAGUGGAACUGCGAGUGUAGAGGUGAAAUUCGUAGAUAUUCGCAAGAACACCAGUGGCGAAGGCGGCUGACUGGUCCGGUUCUGACGCUGAGGCGCGAAAGCGUGGGGAGCGAACAGG